GGGACCGACCUGGCUUCGACGGGGGUACGGAGUCGGAACAGGGCAUGCCGAGCACCAGUUCGCUCGUAAAUCCACUGGAAUCAAGUAACUGCGAACGACGAACGUUUCGCCCUCGCCGCUUAAUAACCGGUGAGCCUCUCAACGGUUGGCCGAUGGGCCGGGUCCAAGCCGCAAGGCAAAGGCUGAGAGGUCAUGCACAUCGGCUGGUUCGCUGUUCGGUCACCUGGCAGCGAGCGAGAUUCGGGUGACUGGCCCUGAACGUAGCGUGCUGCUGCGCGACCGAGGGGCGAGAUUCAAAUCAGCCAGCUAAGCAUGUAGAACUGUCCGGCGAUGGCUCGCGGACGGGGGUUCGAUUCCCCCCGGUUCCACCA
rnacentral:tmRNA from 1 species